UUGAACUUCCCAGACUCCAGAACUACUCCUGCCCCUGCCACGAGAACACACCCUUUCCAGUUUGCUGGAGAAAUAUAAGAGAAGUCCAGUGAAAGAGAGCUGAGUUUCCCCAAUGAUGCCAUCAAGAUGAACUAACUACAGUUAACCAGCCAGCUGAUAGCAGAUGCAUGAGUGAGCCCAGCUGAGAGCAGGUUGUGCAAGCAUGGCACGUGCAUCUGUUUGGCUUGUGGUGAGGCCUCAGGAAGCUUACAGUCAUGGUGGAAGGCAAAGAGGGAGCCAGUACAUCACGUGAACUCGUAGAGUGAGAACUCAUUCACUACCAUGAAGACAACACCAAGCCAUUCCUGAGUGCCUACAAUAGUUCCUGGUAUGUAGAAGGUAUACAAUAAAUAUUGGCGGAGUGAAGGAACAAAUGGGAUUUGCUUGAUUCUGCUGCAGAAGACUAAGAAAAAGACAUAAAUGAAUAAAUAACUAGUAGAAUGUUAACACAAUCAGAAAAAGGACCAUUUCUUUUCAUUUGGAUGUCUCAAAUCUAUUUGUUGUUUUUGUUGUUGUUGUUUUUCUGGCUGGGCUUGAAAUGUAGGCAUGCAGCCAGGAGGCUCCAUGCUGACUAAUGAGAUAGAGGUACCCAUUUAGCCCAGCAAUAUUCAUACAUUGUAUAUGCAUUCAUUUUUCUCUAGUGACUUUUUAAUAUAUUUUGGUGAAGAUAUUCCCAAGAUAAUGAAGAUAUGUUGAGUGGGCAUUAAAAGUGAUGAGUCUUUUUUUCCAUUAUCAAAGACAAAUACAGGUGUGUGAUGUAUGCAGAGAAUUAGAAGUAGGGAAAAAAAUGAGGGAAUCCAAAAUAAUGAAAAGAAAUUAAAGCUCUCCAAUAAUCGAAAGAAAGGCCAAACUGAAAACAUAAAUCUCCAGACUCUGCAAGGAUUUAUACUGAUGUGGGGCAUGUGGACCAAUGGCUUUCAGGAUGUGAUUCAUUUUGAAAAAAGUGUCAUUU
rnacentral:lncRNA from 1 species